rnacentral:rRNA from 1 species
CUGGGGAAUCUUGCACACUGGGCGCAGCCUGAUCCAGCCAUGCCGCGUGGGUGAUGAAGGCCUUCGGGUUGUAAACCCCUUUCGGCGGGGACGAAGGGGAGCUGGCUAAUACCCUAGGGUAUUGACCGUUCCCAUACAGCAACCCCCGGUUUCAUCCGUGCCAGCAGCCGCGGUAA